rnacentral:rRNA from 1 species
AGCUAAUAGAUACCCGGGUAGUCCACGCCCUAAACGAUGUCUACUAGUUGUUGGUGGAGUAAAAUCCAUGAGUAAACGCAGCUAAACGCGUGAAGUAGACCGCCUGGGGAGUACGGUCGCAAGAUUAAAAACUCAAAGGAAUUGACGGGGGCCCGCACAAGCGGUGGAUUAUGUGGAUUAAAUUCGAUGCAACGCGAAAAACCUUACCUGGCCUUGACAUGCCACUAACGAAGCAGAGAUGCAUUAGGUGCCCGUAAGGGAAAGUGGACACAGGUGCUGCAUGGCUGUCGUCAGCUCGUGUCGUGAGAUGUUGGGUUAAGUCCCGCAACGAGCGCAACCCUUGCCAUUAAUUGCCAUCAUUUAGUUGGGCACUUUAAUGGGACUGCCGGUGACAAACCGGAGGAAGGUGGGGAUGACGUCAAGUCCUCAUGGCCCUUAUGGCCAGGGCUUCACACGUAAUACAAUGGUCGGUACAGAGAGUUGCCAACCCGCAGGGGAGCUAAUCUCAGAAAGCCGAUCGUAGUCCGGAUUGUUCUCUGC